GGCAGAGAAACAGAUGAAUGUCACCCCAUUGAUGGCCAGGGUUGAUUCGGCUGAUCUGGCUGGCUAGGCGGAUGUCUCCUUCCUCCCUCACCGCUCCAUGGGCGUCCCUCAUGAAGCUGCGUGCUCCAUUGAAGAGGACGGCCUCUUCCCCAAGUAGAGAUGGACCGGUCUUCGGUCAAGGGUAUAUGAGUAGCUGCGCUCCCCUGCUAGAACCUCCAAACAAGCUCUCAAGCUUUCCUAUUCUUUAUCUCUCUGGGAGUAUGGACCCAGGAUCAUUAUGGGGUGCAGAAGGUGGAAGGUCUGGUUUCUGUAAUUGCUGCUCUGCUCA
rnacentral:snRNA from 1 species